UGAAGGUCUGCCGCAGCUGAUCUGGAAUGAAAACAGUCCUGGGAAGAGAAUUCGAACGCAACGUUGAAUACAUUUAAAAAUGUUAUUCAAAUGACUGCAGAAAGUUCGGUUUCAUGAAAUUAGAACAACUGGGAGCCUGGAACGACACUUCACAUUUCUUGUUUUACAAGGAGGAGCUGGGCUGAACCUACCCACUUCUCAGAGGCCUAACAUUGCAAGUCCCAUUGUGGAUUUAACUGGAAUGGGAGCUGCCAAUGUCCGGGGAACGAUCAUCAGGCCCAUUUCCACGCCAAGUGUGGGAAAACAAAACAAAAAGGAGGCGUAUGUUUGGCUGAGUCCAUCCGAGAGCCCGUUAGCAGGCGAGGAAAGAGACACCGCCUCUGAGCUUAAUCAAGAGCCUGGAUUAGAUUCAGGCUUCACCACUUUGUCCUCCUCACAGCUGAGACAGUGUGAGGGAAAGGACCCGGAGGGCAAAGCAGCCCGAGAGAGAAGAGCCAGUGCGAGCCAGGGCUGUCGUCAGGAGGUCAUGCCGGAGUGUGCGUCUGGGGUGGAGGGAAUCAGGGAAUGGAUUUUGUCAUUUUCCUCAGGCCCAAAUGUGCUAGAUUAAAAAGAAAAAGGGUGUAACCUGGGGGGAGGGGUUUUCCUGUUCAUUUUCUGAUAUUCUCAGACAGCAAUCUCAACUCCUCGUCAAGAUUCAUCGGCUGUAAUUGCUGGGAUUUGAGGCACACACGCUAAAGAUGUCAGAAGAAAUGUAUUAUUUCCUUCGGAAAUUAUCCUAAGCUGCCAACCGUGAAAUGCCUUAAAAACCCAAAUGUCUGCAAACUCUGCAAAGUGCUUCUGAGAGAGUCGGCCUGUUUACUUUGCUGUUGGUAAAAACAAAAAGCCGAGGAACACGAAGUCAUCUGAUCAAAGAACAUAUUCAAAAUCUUCUAACAGAGAACUCUUAGAACUCAACAAUAAAGAACAAUUCAACUUAAAAGCUGGAAAAAUGUCUGAGUAGACACUGUACCAAAGAAGACAUGCCUUCAAUUCACAAACAAUGAAAGGACAGCAUAUUUUUCUUAUUAGAAAGUAUACCUAAAACCCCAACCCUGAUAUCACAAAGGCUGACGGGGCCGUUGGUACCCCUGGGGCAACGGGAAUGCUCUUCAUUCUAGUGGGAAAGAAAAUAAGGACGUCACUUUGGUGAACAGAAUUUCAGUUCCUUGCAAAAUCAAGCAUCCUACUUUUAAAAAAAUUAU
rnacentral:lncRNA from 1 species